CACACCGUAAACUAUGAUCACUAGAUUUUGGCCGUAUGGUCAGAGUCCAAGCGAAAGUGUUUAGUGAUCCACCUGGGGAGUACGACCGCAAGGUUGAAACUCAAAGGAAUUGACGGGGGCCCGCACAAGCGGUGGAGCAUGUGGUUUAAUUCGAUGAUACGCGAGGAACCUUACCUGGGCUUGAAAGUUAGUGACCGCUCCUGAAAGGGAGCUUCCCGCAAGGGCACGAAACUAGGUGC
rnacentral:rRNA from 1 species